GCCGAAAUAGCUCAGUUGGAAGAGCGUUAGACUGAAGAUCUGAAGGUCCCUGGUUUGAUCCUGGGUCCGGCA